UACGUAGGGUGCGAGCGUUAAUCGGAAUUACUGGGCGUAAAGCGUGCGUAGUCGGUUAUCUAAGUCGGGUGUGAAAUCCCCGGGCUCAACCUGGGAAUUGCAUUCGAUACUGGAUAGCUAGAGUUCGGCAGAGGGAAGCGGAAUUUCGGGUGUAGCGGUGAAAUGCGUAGAUAUCCGAAGGAACAUCAGUGGCGAAAGCGGCUUCCUGGACCAGAACUGACGAUCAGGCACGAAAGCGUGGGGGAGCAAACAGG
rnacentral:rRNA from 1 species